rnacentral:rRNA from 1 species
UACGGAGGGUGCAAGCGUUGUUCGGAUUUACUGGGCGUAAAGCGCGCGCAGGUGGACGUGCAAGUCGGAAGUGAAAAUCUUUGAGGCUCAACCUCGAGGCUGCUCCCCGAAAACUGUUCGUCUAGGGACUGGUAGAGGCUGGUAGAAUUCCCGGUGUAGCGGUGGAAUGCGUAGAGAUCGGGAAGAAUACCCGUGGCGAAGGCGGCCAGCUGGGCCAGGUCCGACACUGAGGCGCGAAAGCGUGGGGGAGCAAACAGG